AAAAAAAUUUUGCGAACUUUUCUGCUUGCUUGCUUUUUUGAAAUUUCUGUACAUUUAUUGCAGCCACUGAUCUGACGCUUUGAUUUGUUGGCAUACAUUGUGACUGUGAGCCGAACCACACUGCUUAGUCAAUUCGCAGAGCAAAAGAGUGUGCUCGUUGGUCUCUUCCUCCUGCAAACAGAUUGGGCAGACACUAUUAAUCAAUUUUUUUUUCUCUUACCGGUAUGAUACUGUGCGCGACCUUUCCGAGAAACAUUUUGAUUUUUUGUGGUGCCUUCAUAUUCCAAAUCUCUUCCCAUAGAUCCUCUAAUACGGAGUUUGAUGAGGGGUUGUUGUUGUGGAUUCUUUCAUCUUCUUUUUUUUCGCUACAUAGUACCUUGUUUUGGUUGUGAAUUCUCUAUCCUUCCUGAAGGGACACAAUAACAUGUCCUCCUCUGAGAUCCUAUUUACUAAAGUCUAAAUUAUUUUUUCUACCACAACCGGGGGGAAACUCCUUUGGAUUUUCGCUCUAUCCCAAUCUCUAGAGGAUGUGAGUAAUUCUUCUACUUUUUGAUUGUCAGUGCUUCCUCUAUUAAGUGGCUUGUUGAUUCCAUAGAUCUUCCCAAACUUUCACUCCACUUUCUUUGCCUAUGCUCCAUUUUCCUUUACAUUUUAAAAGCUCCCUCCCUUGUAAUAAGCUGUUCUAUAACCAUGUGUCCUUUUGGUUUUUUGGCACUUCCCAAAAAUCACAAUCUGAAAAAUAUAGGGCUUUGAACACUUGUACCUAUAUAAGCCCCCACCAUCCAUGAAAACACAAGCAGUAUCACAGCGGCAACCUCAAAAACCAGGAUUAGAUGCUGCAGAGGUUUCUAUUUUCAAGCUGACACGUGACCAACUGAACAAGUUGAAAGCAAAGUCUAAGGAAGAUGGAAACACUGUGAGUUACAGCUCUUGUGAGAUGUUAGCUGGUCCUGCGUGUGUGCAAAGCAAGGGGACUUCCAAUGGAUCAAGAAACAAAGUUGUAUAUUGCGACGGAUGGAAGCAAAAUCUAAUGCCCACUUGAUUUGGCUAAUAUUGUGACAUAAUCCAUGGGAGGCCAAUUCAGAGAGGUGAAACAAUUAAACAAAUGAGUUUUGGUAAGUACAAUGAAGUAUAUAACACAUUGAUUCAACCCACAUCACUCAAAUUGAAGUACAAAAAGGUGCUCCUCUUAAGGCAACCAAAGCAUUAAACAUAAUCUGGAGUUUUGAAUAGUUACACUCAGAGCAGCUUAACAUGGAAGGACAUCAAUAUCAAGGUCAUGCUUACGCAAAAUCUAGAGCUCCAAGGUAACAAUGAUGCUGUGGUGCUUGCAGAGCUGCGAUGGUGGCGAUCAACAUCUGAUGAACCCCCACUAGCUCCUCUACCACUAUGUGCUCUCUUUACUGAGGCAUGAGAUAGUUCUUGCUUUUCUUCAUCUUUACUGUGAAACAUCAUUGUCUCUUUUAUGCUCCCAUAGUUUUCUGCAGUUUUGAACAGAAUAAGCAAUUCAGUAUUAACAAAAACGAAUGUGGGGUAUCCACAAUUUCAGGAAUCCUUCACUUCAUGAUGCACUUAUUUGAUAUAAUAUUCAAAAAUCAAAACAGAACAGAACAAAUUACCAAAAGGUUGCUGUGUUUGCACUAUGGUGGUUGAAGAGUUUAGACCUUUCUUUUCUGCAGUGAAACUUGUAUGCAAACCUGAGUUUGAUAUGGCUUGGCUGUAUGAGACAAAAAGGAACAGUGUAAUAAGAAAUUUUAUCCUCAUCUUUGGGGCUAUAUAGGGAAUAAAGUUCUUUGUAUAGA